CAUCUCCCUCCUCCUGCUUUAUUACCGGCCUCCAGGAAAUUGCCUGAAUAGACUUGCGCCCGCUGGACAUCUCUGAGCACGGCUGCAGCUCAGGAGAAUGGCCGUCUCCAUUCGGCCACCGUGAAGAUGGGGAUCAGCCUGCGAAUGGAGCUGUCAGCACCAAGAAGAGAGCCGGGAAAUGUGGUGGAGUCUUUCUCUGUUGCCCAGGCUGGAAUGCGGUGA